rnacentral:lncRNA from 1 species
UAGGAAGUAGGCACCACAAAGGUGGUGAUGAUUUCCAAACCUAUGUGAAUGAAAUGACUCAUGAUAAAUAAAAGUGGCAUAUGCUUAUUGCCUUAUUUGUGAGAACUGAGACUUAACUGGUGCAUAGAGUGCUGUUUGGUGUUACACAGAGAUUCAUCAAUAGGAGAGUGACUGCAUAAAUUAUGGCCCAUCAAUCCAUGGAAUACUACACAGCCAUGAAAACGAGUAAGUACUAGAAGACUGAUGCUGUAAGAUAUCUACAGUCCAUUGUCAAGUAAAAAAAAAAAAAACCCUUGUAGAGGCAUAAUUAGAAAUCUAUAAUAAACUGCAGACAACGAUUACCUCUAGGUAGUAGAAUUGUGUGUGUGUGUGUGUACGUAUGUGUUAUAUGAUACAUUUUUACAGGGUUUAAUUUUUAAAGACAAGCAUUUAUUUCCUGUAAUAAAACAUUUUAAAAUAGUUUUAGAAAGGAAUAUGUUGAGGGACUUCUUUCUUUUUUUGUUGUGAUAAAAUACAUAGAACAUAAUAUUUAUAAUUUUAACCAUUUGUAAGUGUACAAUUAGCACAAUUUAAAUAUGCUCACAAUGUUUUAUAACCGUCUCUGCUAUUUAUGACCCCCAAUUUUUAAUCAUUCCCAUCAAAAACGUCAUAUCUAUUAAACAAUCAUUUUCCCUUUCCCUCUCCCUGCAGCCCCUGGAUACCUCUAUUCUACUUUCUCUCUCUGGAUUUGAGCAACCAGGCAAAACCUGCCCCAGCCCUGUUGCAGCAGAGGGCAAAAUCCCUCGCGGAAGAAGAAGGGAGGAGCCUGCAUUGAUUAACACAUUACCAUUCCUGAAUGAAUUUACAUUCAUGAAUUAUAAUAUCGAACCAUUUCUCUGAAUUUUAUUCAAAAGAGCUGCUACCUGGUAUUUAUGCAAAAAUCCCUGUGCCCUACAGUGAAGUGUGUGUUUGUUAAACACAGUAGUUGUGACAAUUUUGCAGGACAGAUGGAAAUUCUAGA